ensembl:lncRNA
CAUCUCCAUGGGGACAAGCUUGCUGCAAACCCCUCCACCACAAAAGUUACAUAAUACACCUUAAAAUAUAAUUUUAAGUGGCCUUUUUGGCUUGUUCAGAUCAUGCCUUAUGCAGUAAAACCAGUUCAAUGCUACCACUUACAAGACCAAACACUAUGCCGAGGUUUUUUAUACAUUUGUUAAUAUUGUGAAUGACUUUUUAUGUUUUUCUUUGCAUGUUUGUAGAAGGUCCACUUUGAGAUCGAAUGAUUGAGAAUGGAGUCUAUUUUGUCACAUUUUGAAAACCUAACACUACAUUUGCAGUACAAAUCUCUCUCGUCUCGUCUUUCAAAUUCCUACUUUUACUGAGUAUCUAAGUUACUUGAAGACCUUUUAUUUAUAACUAAGUAGCAAUUUUAAUCAUAUUUUCCUACACUUAUUUAAGUUGACUGUUUAGAAAUCCAUAAAAUGAAGAUAGAAAAAUAGCUUAAGGGCUGUAUGAGCUAAGCAAUACACGUCAAUGCUUUCUUCCUUGUCCCAAAAUGCCAUAUUAUUGGGUUUACUAGUCUUCCCUUAACUUAAACUGGGACAUUAUAUUACAUUGAAUUGCCUCUUUCUGUUAAUAUAUAUUUUAAAUCUUUAUCUUCUCAAAUCAAUGCGUAGAUGCCAUAGGUGAUUAAUACGUAAGGUGCGUACUGUGGAACAUUCUAGGCAAAGCAACUUCUCCAUGGAGACAACCAGAAAAGUGACAUGGUACAUCUUUUAAGCAUUUUUACAGCCAAAUAUUUUUCAUCAAAAGUCAAGUUUCUGUUCAAAGUAAUAGUUUGAUGUUUUGAAGUGCAUAUUAUCGGGCUUCUGCAAUGCUAGUAGUUUCUUGUGGUAAAGAAUUUGACCUGCAAAAUCUGUAUAAUAUUACUGACGGUUCAAACAACAAACUGCAUUACUUUGAGAAAUUAUUGUGUCUUUGAAAUGUUUUUUGUUCAGUGCAGUCAAAUGCAAUGCAGUUGUGUUGUCCAUAUAUAUAGAUGUACACCACUUUAUCGAUUGCAAAUAGUGCCUUUUAUCAACUUAAUUUAUAAACAAUAUCAAAGAAUCACUUAAAGGUCCUAUAGAACGCAAAAUUGACUAAUGUGAGCUUUUAGUCAUGUUAGAAUGCUGUUACUUCAUCAAAAACAUACCUGGUGUUGUGUUUUGUUUCA